UUCUGUAAGAUUCAGCAUCUUGCCUCUUCCGUCCUGUAAGCUCUUGAAAUUGCCAAAUAGCGGAGGCCAUUCUCCUUUAUACCACCUUGCGGGAAGCCUGACAGAACCUAAGCUGGAGACCUGGAGUCCUGAGGGAAUUAUUAGAUGAGGCUACAGUUGCUCUUAUCCUGGAAAAAUCUCUCUCCCUCUCCCAAGAUCUGAUGGGGUGUUAGAAGUCCUGAAAAGGGCACAACCUGCAAGGAAAAUGGGGCCAGAUGUGGAUCAGUAAAGACAAGGCGUACCUCGGUGUAGCUACUUUCCAGAAUUCAGAUAUGUCUGCGAUAUAAAUAGCACUUUUUUCAGACUCCCAAAACGUUCAACAUGAAACAGGAAAAGCC